AUUAAUUAAAUUUUUAUGUUUGAAUUUUAUUAGUUGUUCAUAAUUAAUUUUAAGAUUAUUGGCGGUAUUAAUUAGAUUCUGGGGAACUUGUUUAUUUAAAUUGAUAUUACUCGUUAAAUUUUAUCUAAAGUUUGUUUUAUGUAUUGCUGUUUUAUUUAUUAUUUAAAAUUUAAUAAAUUAAAUUAAUAAAAGAAUUAGAAAAGUCAAGUCAAAAUGUAGAUUUCUUUAGGGAUAAAUGAGUUACUUUUAUUUUGAAAAAUGAAACUGUAAAGAAAAAUGAAAUAUUUUUUGAUUAAAAGGUAGGAUUAGGAAGUAAAAAGUUAUUAAUAAGAAUUUUUGAUAUUUUUUAUUAAUAUGUACAUAUCGCCCGUCGCUUAAAAGUAUAAGAUAAAUUUUUA
rnacentral:rRNA from 7 species